ACCAAUACUCUCUCUCUCUCUCUCUCUUCACACUAACACCAGAGACAAAGGAAGAGAUGUGAGAAAAAGAGAGAUAGCACAGAGUGGAAGCUGAAAAUGUUGUUUUUGCUUUGACUGCACUAAGAUCUGCCUCUAUUAUUACCUGCCGCUUGUUAUUUGUUUCUCUUUUUAGUCUCAUCUACCACUACCCAAUUUCUCCAAAGGGGAUUGAAAGAACGCAAGUGGGUGUCGGUAAAAGACUGAUUUUUCAUCCCUUCUCUUGUGACUAGGACCAAGCUGACCUCCACCUCCUACUGUGCCUUUGGAAUAUCUUAUUACUUGGAUUUCUGUUUGACAUUUAAGAGUAUCUGAAUCCAAGAGCUUGGAUGUUGUUGUUGUUGUUUACUUGAGGAUUUUUUCACCCCUUAAACUAUCUUUUGUCACACGAGGAUCAUGGUUGGAUGUUUGAAUUUUUAUAAAUUUUUGCAUAUUAGUGAAUUUUGAUACAUUCUUUGAAGUAAAGGCUCUGGCAACGACAUGACUGAUACUAUUAGGAGAGUACACAGGAAUCAGUAAUAACCAGGAUUCAGAUUAGAAAUAGACAGUGGUCUCUGUUGUUUAGUCUGAAAGAGAGAUCAAGUUCAUCUGAGGCCAUGAAGAAAAUCUGGUCAAAGAAAAGAUUUCAGAGAGCUGGACAUUCUAGCUGGACGUUUGGGAGAUUCACUCAUGUGAAGUUUUUCACUUGUGCAGGAAGGAAAGCAAUGACUCAAACAGUACAGAGGAUGAAACUGAAGAGCCUCAGGUCUCCAUGGAGAUGAAGGAACAGUAUAUGCCUUCCCAGGGGGAAGCAAUAAAGAAUCAACCCACUGGCCGGGGGAGGGCAAUGCUUUUCCAUAUCCCAGGUGAUGGUCCAGUAGUAGAGAGAGAGAUGCAAGCUCUGGGCUCUAGAGCUCCUGGUCUUCAGGAUCCCUUGUCACCUGGCAGGCAAGCAAAUGCUGGGUGUGUUGAGAGCCCUCCAGCCAGACACCUGGGGAUUGAAGCUCUUGUGCGGGCCUCACAAAUAAGUGUGUACUAUGUGGCACUGGGGUCAGAGGAGAGUAUGUCAAUAGCCAGUGACUACUAUGGCAGUGUUUUGAGCCUCUAUCGAAGAAGGACCUUUUCCAUUUAUAGUGUUCAAUAAUGAGCGCUGGCACACUGGAUAUGAAAAGGUAUAACGUAACUUGAAUCGAGGUGGGACAAAUCAAAUUUAGAUUACAGCUCUAAUGGAACAUUUUAAAAAUAGUUUGCAUUACUUUAUUCUUCAUUUAUCGUGGCCUAUUUAUCUCAACCAUGUCAUGUUAUUUAUGUUUCCUUGAUUCCUACUUUCCCGUGGCUCCACUUGCAUAGUUUUUUGUUUAUGUUUUUUUUUUCUUACAAACUAUUUUGCAUGCCAUUGCAUUUGUAUGCUAAUUGCAGUCUUUUUUGUUUAUUAAUCUCCAGCAGUGCUUUACAUCUUUCAACAUGGCAUGUGUUUCAGUGCAUGUUUUAUUGUAUAACUAUGACAUUUUACUUUCUUUCACUCAAAAUGCACUAGUAACAAAAUAUCCACACAAUUUAUUUAUUUUUAUUUUUUUUUGACACAGAUUUGCCAUUUUAAUAUUUUUAUUUUCUGUCAUAAUGCAACAUUUUCAACAGUCACCCUUAUUUCAGGAGCUAGUUUGACUUUAUGACAGGGAAACAUUUCCAUUUGUUCAAACCAAGCCAUUCCAAAAAGCGAGUGAUGUUGAGCCAACAACAGAUCCAACAAAAAACAGGCAUUAAUGGAGCUGAGCUACCUUUUGAAAUCUCAAAAAUCUCAUAUUCAUGUCAAAGCAGUGGUUCCAAAGAUAAAUUCUCACUCCAACCCCAAAAAGCGUCACAGGCAAGUUCCAAAAUAUUUGAUAAAGUGAGAGCUUUUGAUGAAUAAAAACACAGCAGUAACAUACCAAAGUUGUCUUCUUCAAGACUAUCAUGGGAUCUGAAUCGAACAUCAUCCUGCAAUUCUGAGGAUAGUACAAGUAAAUCAGGGAAGCCCCAAGACAACUUCAAGAGUGAUGUAACACCCAAGAGGUCUUUCUUCAAACAGAAGGCAUCCUCUCUGUAGGAACAGUCAACCCAUGUAUAGAAACAGUUUCAGAAUAAACUCUCAAUAGAGCUUAACCGAAUAAAAAAAUAUUUGAACAUCAAUAAAGCAUUUUUAGUGGAACAGCGCACCCAGACUGGCAAGCAGUCCACUGGAAACACUUAUUUCCAGUUAUUUCCAGCCCAGGUAAUUCUGAAGGUUGAAGACACUACUAAUUCAAAAGAUUUACCAUAAUCAAAAGAAGGAUGAUCAACAUUUCCAAAGGAGGAAUCACCACAACUACAGAGAAAGAAAUUGGCAGAUGAAUCAAAACAACCUGAAAGAAAAUCACCUUUUGAUAUUACGGGAAACCAGUGGAAGAAAAAUUUCUAAGCCCAGGUGGUUGUUAGACACGCAAUUCUUCAAUGAAAAGGUCAUGUUCAGUAAAACACCAGAACAGUGUUCACCUAAGAUGCCAAGGACAAGAAUGUUCAGCAAAUUCCCCAAAUCACCUGUAGAAAUAUCACUUGCUCAACCCAUAAUUCAAGGGGGGUUAGUGCAAGCAACCCUAAAACCUCCAAGGUUGUUUGGUUCAGUUUCCGUGCUCCCAAAGUCAUUAAAGAAAACAGAGGAGGAAAAAAAGACUCAUCACUUAUUGCGAAAAAGACCAUACCUACUAUUGUGGUUGAAAAUAAGCCUGUUGGUGAAGAGGCAGAUAAAACAAAGUGUUGUCAAAAAGAAGUUGAGAAAUAUGAAGGAAAAACAACUAGAAGAAACAGAGAAGACCAGUCAGAUGCCACUUAAGAAUGCUGUGGUAGCUGCUCGAUCAGAGGUAAUGCUUCAGUAUGUCAACAAGGGAAAACCUGUUCCCAGAGUUUCUGCUGAGUCAUCUCUGACAAUUGCCAGACCAAUGCAGGAUGUAAAGGUCAAGGCAGGAGAGAUAGCUAUAUUUGAAUGUUUUCAAACUGGUCCACAGGCUGUGGAUGUUGAUUGGCUGGCUAAUUGGAAGUUUAUACACCCCGCACUAUUUCAUUGUAAGAUGCAAUUUACCUUCUGUUAAAAUCUGUGCAAGAUGACAACAGUGGAAGCUAUACUUGUAAAAUCAGUUCAGCAAAAGGUAAGAGUCCUAUAACAACAUUCCAAAUUGAGCAUAGCUCUUACAUCAUUUAUGCAUUAACAUCGAGUUGCCUAUUCUUUAAUGUUAUGUUAAUCUUGUUUCUUAGUAAUGCUUAUUUGUUUGCAAUUACAUCAUUUUCUCAAAUGCUAACACACUGAUUCAUUUGGCCCAAUUUUCAAAACCAUUAAAGACUCGUUUCUCAAAAUGUUUAACACAUUUCUCCUGUUUGUACACACGGGCCAAUUUGCAAAAGGCUAAAAAUAAAAAAAGCAAAGAAAAGCUCUUCUGAACUCUAUAUAAAGGAGUCACUACCAGGCAUAUCUACUUGCAUGUAAAAAGACAACCUCUUCUUAACAAUGUCUAAUAAAAAAACACCCCCCCCCCCCCCCCCAAAAAAAAAAUUCAAUUGUUACCUUUCUUUACCCCUUUUCUGUAUUGAUUGUUAUUAUUCACUAUUCAGGUCAUGGUUACAGAAAAUGCAUUCAGUGUAUGUGUGUGUGUGUAUGUAUGUUUGUGUGUGUGUUUAAAACCAUGUAAAAAAAAUGUAGCUAUGGGAUGUAGUGUGUCAGAUGGUUCAGACUCAAUGGACAAACUAGUAAUAGUGGGUUUUCCAUCCAAAUGUAGGCAAAACUAUAUAUCAGCUUAUCCCUAAAAGUUCCAAACAAGUCACAUUUCUAUCACUUUUGAUAUAGAAGCUUUAUAACAAAUACAUUUUUUAUAGCAGAAAUUAUGAAAUAUAAUUAAGAGUAUCAGUGUCUCUAAAAGGCAGCUUUAGUAAAAUGUUUACCUUUUCCCCUGAUUUUCUCUAAUUUUCAAUGUCCUUUUUCAUUUCAUGUCCUGCUUCACUUAUGUGCAUUGUUCAACAACAAGCUCUAGGCUUAGGCCAACUCAUUGACUGAGGUACUGAGAAGAAUUGUACUUGAAUUCUGUCUCUACUCACAUCAGAGAAAUGUGGAGAUAUCUGUUACUUUCUUAUGACAUAUUUAUUAAUUCUGUCCCUGAUUACACAUGUAUCUACUGCUAUUCUGCACUUUUAAUGAAUGAAAUGGUCAUGCCUAUAGUCUUACUUCAGCACAGCGGGCAAAAGCAAACCCACAUAAAUCUUUUGUCUUGCAAAAUGCUGGCUGUGUCAUUUCUUGAUUUUUGCACAUUGCAUGUAGACUUGAUAAAAUAAUUUAUUAUCAUUAUUUUAAUUGUUUUUAUAUCACAGGACAGUACUUGCAAAAAGCUCCAGUCAUUCAGGACAAGCCUGAUAUUGUUUAUGAACCAGCCUGUCACCAUCACAAUAAAACUUAAUCAUGUCUAAUCAAACUCAUGGAAAAGGUUAGUGACAAAUACAAACCAAACAUUCAAAAUGCAGUAUAAAUUGUGUAUUACAUUAACAUAAUAUUAAGUAAGCCAUUGUUUACUAGAAGUGGUGCUUCUCAACAAACCUGAUGUAUUAGAGAUGACCAUGCCUGAUGAUGACCAGGAUAUUUCAGUAUAUUUUAGUGCCCCCUUCAUUUGAGACCAUCAUGGAGGACUUGGAUGUGUGGGGAAAACAUGUAUUUUUGCUACGGUUGUAGACAGAAAACCUGACCCUAUUAUCCUCUGAUACAAGGUCAGUUUGCACUAUUGACUAUUACGCCAACUGAAAUGUCACUGAACAUUUUUUCUGUCCUUAGUGAUUCCGUGCUAUAUGACUUUCAGGAUAAUAUCCUUCUGUCACAGAGCAGUCAUUUUACCUUUGUGUAUAAUGACAGAGAGUGCUCGCUUGUGAUUCUUAAUGCCAGAAGCAGAUCUAGAGAGUAAUUCACCAAGAAAACACUAGCUAUGUAUGUUUAAAUUAGCAGUGUUAUGUCACUUACAUAUACAUGUCUGAUGAAUGUCUCCAUUUAGAUAGCAAAGUAAAUGUGUGUAGGUGUACUCACAAUUUCACAGCCAAAAAUGUGGACGAGGAGGAAGAUCAAAUGGAAGAUGAAGGCACAAUUCUACGGUGGACGCAUAGGAUGACUGAUUAAUGUGACAUACACAAACAGAUUGGCAGGUCAGACACCAUACAAGAAGGACACUCCUGUUUAUAAUUCCUUUAUUCCGCCACUGGGUGAUAUAGUCUAGUAUGGUCAAGUUUUUAUAGAUUGUUCAGUUUUUUAGAACACUUUUUAGAACACUUAAUUCAGUGUUCUCAGAUGACUCUAGUUUUCUCUUCCAGAUUUUGUUACUCUGAAGAUGAUGUAGUUGGCUUUGUUGUCCAGAUUCUUCAGUGGUUAGAAUAUCUCCACAGCUGCCGGAUUCUUCAUCUUGACAUUAAUCCAGACAACUUCAUGGUCACCAACCUCAACCUCAACCUCAAUUCAUGUCAUAGAUUUUGGCAGUGCUGAAAGUUUUAAUCCUCUCUGCCUCCAACCAUACAGCAGAGAACUCGGGACUCUGGAGUACAAGGCUCCAGAAUUGUUGAAAGGUGAUCUAGUAGGACCCCUAAGCUGACAUUGAGUUCAUUCCUAUAUUAUACUCAGCGUUAGGCUUCCUUUCCGAGACAAAUACCCAAAUCUGACAGAGACCAAAAUCCAUGCCACAAAGUUUGAUUCAACUAAGCUCUACCCAAAGGUGUCCCAAAGUGCCUCCACAUUUUUUGAGAAGAUAUUAAAUGGCUAUCCAUGGUGUUGACCCACCAUUAAGGACUGCCUCAAUCAUUCAUGGCUUCAUAACUCUAAAUCUAAAGAAGCUGGGUCGACAGACCUUGACUUUCACUACUACACAGCUCAAGGAAUUCCAGGAGGAGCAUCAGCGAAGAUGUGCAGAGACGACUACUAAACACAAGGUCCUCCUAAGAGUCUACCAGAGUGGGUCUUCAUCCCCAGCCUCACUGACUAAGCCUAGCUCAACAAUUGAAGAAUAAAAAAAUAUGGACUUUGAACAGGAUAUGGUAAUGAAUUUCUUCAGAGCUGGAAAAUCUUUGGAAAUUAUACCCAGAGGUUUCCUUGAUGACACCCAUAAUAAGAGUAAUAUUAGAACAAAAUAGACUAUAUUUAAAAAAAUAAAAUAAAUGUAAUAUAUGUCAAUGGUGUUGAUCAUAAUUGGUUGAUAGCUUGGUGAUGGACAUUAAAUAAGGUUUCAAUACUGGAUUCAGUUAACUUUGGAUCGGUAAUUAUACCCGAAUGUAUGUUUUUUUAAAGCAUUGUCAUUUAGUUUUUUAUGUACAAUAGUUUGCUACAUGUGAUGCAUUGAUUUGGACUUAAAUUUGAACUGAGAAUCAAUUUAAGAAUUACAGAAACAGGUAAUAAGGCCUGUCCAUGAAGAAGAAUACAGUAAUACUGUUUUCUGCAUUUCAUAAAAACAUUGUUUUCUUUGAGAAUUCUUAAAAUACACAAACUUAUCUGCAGUGUAAAAUGCUGAUUUGUCAGUGUUUUAAAUAUAUAGAGUGUAAACAACUAAUUAAGCUUUAUUAAAGUUUAGACACAUUAUUCAGUGGCGUUCCAACACUGUCAAUACAUUCAGUUU